rnacentral:lncRNA from 1 species
UUUUAAUGAAAUUUUUGUUUUGCGUUCAUACUCGAACUGUUCUUUCUUUAUCAUAAAUGAAGUAUUUAGAUUGCUUGCUUCGUAACUUUUCCCGAGGGAUCUGCUGUAUUGCUUUCUCCUUCUUGCCCCUUUAAUCGUUCAGAACUAGAGUUCAUUCAGCCAACUGAGCUUUUGACUUACUUUUUUCCGAGCUGGACUAGUCGUACUCGUGGGCUCUGUUUUAAUCCUGUGAGCCGAGCUCUUGACCUUCUUAGGUAAUAAGCAGGGCUGGUCUUUAUCAUGCUUCCCUCUGCUUGUGUCUUUGAGCUUUUUAUUUAUCUUUUUCUGAGCUGGAUCAGUCGUAACCCUGAGCUCUUGUUUUAAUCCUGUGAGCCGAGCUCUUGACCUUCUUAGGUAAUAAGCAGGGCUGGUCUUUAUCAUUGGGUGAGAGGUCCAAGUGGAGCCCGGUCUUAAGGUUUGAGCGAGUUGGGUUUAUUCUAUGCAGAUGGCAUGUGGGCUUUUGGGUGACAGGCUAUUGCCAUGGGCUUGGCCCUAGACCGGGUGAGGAAAAUCCAGCGGCCGUCAAUUGCUUUCGGGUGAUGGGCUAUUGCCGUGGGCCCAACCCUUAAUAGAGGUGGCGAAGUCCAGCAGCCGUCGGUUAUUGUCCCUUUACCUUCUCGUCAGUUAUUGUAUAACUGAUGAGGGGGUAAACUUCGAGAGUAAUUAAUGACCGCGCCGCUCCAAGACAAAAUUGUUCAGAGUGACACUUCGUUUCAUUAUUGCCUUUCCU